rnacentral:rRNA from 1 species
GAUUGUUGAUCCUGGCUCAGGAUGAACGCUAGCGGCAGGCCUAACACAUGCAAGUCGAGGGGUAGAUGUCUUCGGACAUUGAGACCGGCGCACGGGUGCGUAACGCGUAUGCAAUCUACCUUGUACAGAGGGAUAGCCCAGAGAAAUUUGGAUUAAUACCUCAUAGCAUUAUUGAAUGGCAUCAUUUAAUAAUUAAAGUUCCAACGGUACAAGAUGAGCAUGCGUCCUAUUAGCUAGUUGGUGUGGUAACGGCAUACCAAGGCUACGAUAGGUAGGGGUCCUGAGAGGGAGAUCCCCCACACUGGUACUGAGACACGGACCAGACUCCUACGGGAGGCAGCAGUGAGGAAUAUUGGACAAUGGGCGCAAGCCUGAUCCAGCCAUGCCGCGUGCAGGAAGACGCAUCUAUGGUGUGUAAACUGCUUUUGUACGGGAAGAAACACUCUCUCGUGAGGGAGCUUGACGGUACCGUAAGAAUAAGGAUCGGCUAACUCCGUGCCAGCAGCCGCGGUAAUACGGAGGAUCCAAGCGUUAUCCGGAAUCAUUGGGUUUAAAGGGUCCGUAGGCGGUUUAAUAAGUCAGUGGUGAAAGCCCAUCGCUCAACGAUGGAACGGCCAUUGAUACUGUUAGACUUGAAUUAUUGUGAAGUAACUAGAAUAUGUAGUGUAGCGGUGAAAUGCUUAGAUAUUACAUGGAAUACCAAUUGCGAAGGCAGGUUACUAACAAUAUAUUGACGCUGAUGGACGAAAGCGUGGGGAGCGAACAGGAUUAGAUACCCUGGUAGUCCACGCUGUAAACGAUGGAUACUAGCUGUUGGGAGCAAUUUCAGUGGCUAAGCGAAAGUGAUAAGUUCCCACCUG